AAUUUUUCACAAUUGGCUUAUCGGCACAAGCUGCUGCAGUGAGGCGUGCUCCUUCGACGGGAGACGAGGCUUGUGAGAAGAGUGUGCGACGAGCUUCUGUCACCCUUCAACUCUAUGACAGAGUGGUGGUUGUUCACUUCCUUCUCUGUGAACACCAAAGCAGAGCUUCCUUUUAUACGACGGAGUGGUGGUUGGGAGGCGUGAUUGGGAGGCCAUUGAGUGGCAAAAUCUGGACCUGCGAGGCGAGGGAGGGGUUUUCGUUCUCACUAGACAGAUUUUUGAAGCGUUUAGGGUUCCCAAUUAUUUCUUUGUGACUAAGUGUUUAAGGUGGAGGUGAAGGAGUUUUGGUGAGCUAAAAUCUUGAACCUAAGGUAGUGCUAUGAUCGGAGGUAGUCUUGUGAUUGGGAUCAAUGUGUUUGGGUGAAGUAAACACUUUGGAUCGGAGGUGAAAGUUAUGUUGGCAGCAAUACAUAAGGUAUUAUGUGGAGUAAAUUUUGGAACUUGGACAUUUAUCUUAAGGUCAAGAGAGAGUUGUCACGUGAUUUCCACAUCAUUGCCAAAUCUGCGCCAUGUUAGUUAGCAUGUCCACGUCAUUGGGUCAGCAUUUUCAGCCCAUAGUGGCAUUUUUGUAAUUUUGAGUGGCAGAAUGACAGUUUUGUAAUUAUAAGCAGCUGUGGUGAUGUGACCACGUGUUUUUUUAGGGUUUUCUUAGAGUAGCAGCCACACUCUCUUCUUCCCCAUUCGGUUUUCACAUUCUAAGGACAACACUCACUUAGGAUUUUUCGUUUUUGGUGAUUACCAUUGAAGCACCACCCAACUUAGGGUUUUCGCCCCCUUCAAUAAAAAUUUGUGUUUGUUCACUA